CGGGCCGUUCAACGAGACAGCAAGCACAUGUUUCCAGAAUCGAGCAGUAAAAGGUACAUCAGUACACAUCUCUGUGCUGCUAUAUCUGUACACAUCAGCAAGCAAAUGUAGUUUCUUUUGCUGCUACAUCAUCAGACCAUAAUGUGCAUAAGAUGUAGUCCUGGUUUUGUAGACAAUGAGGUGUGUGGCUGGUUCUCUAUGUUUGUGUGUGUGCAUAUGUGUUAACUGGUGGCCCUUGGUGUGUGUGUGCAGGGUACUGCCGGAGAUAAGUAGUAAGCGGCAAAAUGUUUUUUUUUUUUUUUUUUUUGCGUAUGAGCGGCAAAUGUUUUGAGGCAGCAGCAAGACGAGGCAUAAAAGCUGGCGAGCAGGUAUGAGCAGCGAGCUGCUACUGCACUUGUGCAGCUACUUUCACGAAUGAAUCUAGCUAGUUAUAGCUAUUGGUACUAAACUUGUGUGCGUGUGUUAUCUUUGGUAGCUAAUUUUGCCGUGUGCAAAUACUGAACUUGGUGUCCUGCUGCUAUUUAACUGUUGUAGAUUGAGAAUUGGAAUUGGGGCUGCAACUAAAGUAGCAAAAAUAUGAUGUAUUUCAAAUAUCAUGAUGAAAACAAGGAACCUAACAACUCUUCAUCUCAAGGUAACUAGUUUCUGAACCUAUUAUCUAAAACUAAAAUGAACCAUGGAAGUAGAACAAGUAAUUAUCAGUCUUGGCUGGGCAUGGAACUGAUUUCCCCUGGUCUUGGAACUGAUUUCAAGAGUAAAUUAUGGAAAAAAUUAACAAGUACUCAAGUCCAACUUGCAAACUAGUAGCAGUUCUAUAGUGCAAGCAUGCAUCAAAUUUCAAAAGCGAACCUGACUUAUAUAUAAAAUGUCUUGAUGCAUGCUAUCAGAAAUCUGAAAAUAAACUCAGUACAGUUCCUAUAUUUUUAGUAUAUGUUCUACUGUAAAUUAUAUGUGUUCUACUGUAACUUUUUUAAAAACAGUAUAUGUUCUACUGUAAAAAACAUACAUAAAAUGUCUUGAUGCAUGCUAGCAGAAAUCUAAAAAUAUACUCAGUACAGUUCCUAUAUUUUAUUUCAGUUCAAUUUCAAACUCCAAUUCAGUUCAAUUCUGGUUUUACUAAACUUGCUAUGGAGCUGCCGUAUUCCUAGUGCUGGAGAAUUGGCUCAACCCAACCCGCAACUCCGUUUGCUCACAUGUAAGUCCAUGGUUUUACAAAGAAGCAUGGUUUUACAAUCUUCCAAAGGUAUUUGGUGUCCGCGGCACUUGCAUGUUUGAUGGACUCCUUGCUCACCGUUCACCAAGUCCUUUCUCCUUUCGUUUGCUUUGCUUUUACCAGGGAUGCAAUGAAGGGAUGAAAAGAAGUUGGGGCACAAUUCUUGGAUAAUUGCACCAUGGAGCGUGUGGUCCUCAGUUAAAACAAACACAAAACAAUUUCUAGUGCAUUUCUAGUUGCUACUUGCUGCCACUGGUAAAUUGGACAAGUUCAGAAAGUGCCAUGGAGCAAGCUCAGUAGAGAUUGUGCCGUUGACCUUUCUUACUGAAGCUCCUUCCAGUUGUUACUUGGUGCCAUUGUUAAAUUGUGAAAGUUCAAAGACUGUCAUAGGGCAAAAUCAAAAGUUUGCUUUCAUGACAAGUGUGAUUUUUGGUCAUUAUUUUGUACAAUUCAUUUGGCACAAGCUUUGUGUGAUUUUAUGAAGCUUUAUACGAAACUGUGUUCUAUCAUAACAAACAUUAUGUUGUCGGUUUAGGUGUAAAACCAGAAAAUAACUUCAUG
rnacentral:lncRNA from 1 species